GUCUUUUGGGUUUACUUGUCUUCAAAGGGAGCUGUAGCAGGAGAGUAUUCCUUGGAACUUUGGUAAUAGGGUGUACGGCCCUAGUUAGGUACAAAAUAUCCACCCAGGUAAGAGCACAGGGGGAAAAGAUUCAGGGCGCAAAAGUUUACGUUCUUAUAGAGUCUUUUGGGUUUACUUGUCUUCAAAGGGAGCUGUAGCAGGAGAGUAUUCCUUGGAACUUUGGUAAUAGGGUGUACGGCCCUAGUUAGGUACAAAAUAUCCACCCAGGUAAGAGCACAGGGGGAAAAGAUUCAGGGCGCAAAAGUUUACGUUCUUAUAGAGUCUUUUGGGUUUACUUGUCUUCAAAGGGAGCUGUAGCAGGAGAGUAUUCCUUGGAACUUUGGUAAUAGGGUGUACGGCCCUAGUUAGGUACAAAAUAUCCACCCAGGUAAGAGCACAGGGGGAAAAGAUUCAGGGCGCAAAAGUUUA